CCCCGCCUCUUUAUCUUUAUCUUUAUCUCGGAGGUCCACAACACUGUGGAUUUGUAAUUGGACUCCGGACAACCAAGAGAAGGAGAAUGAAUGAAAAACUGAGAUUACUUGUCCUUCUUUCGGCCGAGUGUUGUUAUUAUUCGAGUCCAGCACAUUCUUUACCAAUGUGGUGUACUUAUAGAGGAGGAGGACCACAUAAACGAUAAACAUUGUUAAGAGCAUAAUAAAAAUGGGCCCCACGAAAUCGGGGAGUCCCAACAAAAAAGAUUGAAUGGAAGCCCAUAUUUGCU
rnacentral:lncRNA from 1 species